GCAAAAAUUCCCCUGACAGGGAGUACUUUUAAAUUUCAAAUCCUUUAGGGGAUAAUUGGCCAGACUGCUCGGCAGGAGCCACAGCAAAAUCCAAGCAGGCAGCUGUGGGACUGCUAUAGCCGGCCCUUUGCUCGGGCCUUUCUGAGCAGGAAGCGAGUCGCUCGCUGCCCCCGGGUGCGGGCGCGCAGGACCAGCAGCUGCCCCCAGCCACGGGCGCGCCACCUGUUUCCGCCUGGGACUUCCCCCAGCCGGCUCCGAAGUGUGGAGUCAGCAGCUUGGCCUGGCCCGGCAUCAGGGGCCCAGCGCAGCCCUACCCCACCGCCGCCUCCCGUGAGGCCCCGCCUGGAAGAGGCGUGGACUGCACCCUGGUGCGCGCGUUCUGGGCUUGGCCUUGAAAAUCAGGAUGGCGAUGACCGCUGAGCAGUGUGAAGAGUGUUCAUCCACCAGACCCUUCCACCAGGCCACCCUGCCUUGGAGCCCACCAAACAUGGACUGAAACCUCCUAAACUUUAACACAAUGGACAUAGAGCAGAAAUCAGUCAUAAAUAUUAAACUGGAUCGAACAUUCAUAGUACAAAGUAUGCUGUAAAGUGCUGAAGGUGUGUAAGUACGCAAAGCUGCCGCGGCCCAAGGUUUUCCUCAAGCCCAACAGAGAUUUGCUACGUCCACCUUUGCUUGUUUCAGGUGCAUCUGUGUUAGACAGACACUUUGUCAUUUC
rnacentral:lncRNA from 1 species